AUAAAUAAAAUUGGAGUAAGCUUUACACCGUCUUUUCUCAUGAAAAUAUAAAUAUGACUUGAUUAAUUCUAACUAAGGAUAUUUCUCUGAAAUAUCUUUACAUUGCUUUUCUCAACUAAAAUAAAUAAAGCUUGUAGCUCUUAUCUUUCUUUUAUAAUUCAAAACUCUCGAUAGCUUUAUCUUUUCAACCAUAGUCCCGUUUUAAGCGUUCCUUACGUUCGCGUGACCUUAGAUCGAGCCUUGUCGUUAGUACGCUCUUUUAAAGCUUUCCUUUUGUUUUGGUGUACUGCUCUUAGUUGUAUUUGUUUGUUUGCUUGUAUGAUUGUGCCGGUGAUUGCUUCGAGUAGAAGGAUCGCUGUUCGAAAGCUUUGAAGAUUAAGAGUUUCAGGAGAGCAAGAGCCGAAGAGCAGUAAGAAGUAACUUGUCGCUGGAGAAAGGCAAGUGUGUCCUUGUGCUUUUGUCCUAAUAACUUUGUUUAAUCACUAUUGCAUAUGCUUGCAUUAAAUUUGUUGGGUCCUAUUAAGGUUUGCCUAGUUUUUAUGAUUAUUCCUUGCCAACCUAGGUUUACCUUUCUGUUGGGUAGCUAUGCUUAGCUGCUAUACCUGGGUUAUGGUGG
rnacentral:lncRNA from 1 species